rnacentral:rRNA from 1 species
AUGACUGGGGUGAAGUCGUAACAAGGUAGCGCUAGGGGAACCUGGCGCUGGAUCACCUCCUUAAACGAUGAU